GAAUUCACAGUGGUUAGCAUAAAAACCUGGCAAAGACCCUUGUGCUGUGACAGAGCUCUGCAUCAUAUAGCACCAGGCACCCUGUUUCCUGGAGAGACCUGAACUCCGCUGUCACAAUGGAGACAACACUUCAGGCUCCAUUCUUGGAGCAGGAGGGCUGCUAGGAUAUAAAUUUUUUCUCUUUGCCUACAAAACAGACAGGAGGAAAUUGGUCUGAUCUAGCAGCAGGAACUGGUACUUCCUCGAGCUGAACAGCUCAGUGUGUGUGGAAGGGGGUCAGACAGACUUGUUUCACUGACUGAUGGACUCCCAGGUUGAAGCUGUGAGAUAAGUGCAUGCUGCUCUUCUCCUGUGAAAUGAGUUGCUGACCUCAAAGUCUGGGAAGACUUCUAACAGCGCAUAGAUCAUCUUGAAGACUGAAAAUUUGAGAAAACUUACCCUCAUGAAAAAAAAAAAAGGUCCAGAUCUUUAGCAGACUUGGAAGAAAGAAGGGUUUGUUCAGAUGUUUGAGCUGUCUGCUGCUGCUGCCUAGUGCUCAGAACAUCACAGUUGAUCCCCUGGCAUCACAAAAGCAUCAACUAGGAGCCCAAUCACCAUAGUUUGCUACUGAGUGCCAGGACACUAUAUUUGCUCUGGUGACUAUUCCUCCCAGUGCAGUUGCGUAUCACUGCUACCCUGUCUGUCCAGGAAGCAGAAAAGUGAAACUCGUGCUUGGCACUUCCAUAGGGAUCUCUGAGUGCUAGGAGACAAAGAUGAAAACCAGCUGAUAGGAUACAGGCAACCAUUACAGAGGAAAUACUGGAUGUCAGAAGAGGGGCAGGAAGCAAUGCCAAGGUCCAGAACACCUUUGGGUGCUGCAACCACCUGAAACCUCCUGAAAUCGCUUACCACCACUCAAACCGCUUUUAAUAAACAGGUAACUAAAAUUCAAGCACUUCCUUUAUAAAGCCUUUUGGUUUCAGGAAAGUGAAUCACUGUCUGACAGUUUGGUGGGAGGUUAUUCAUCCAGGAUUGCUUCACUCCUUCGUGGAGAUGCUUGGUGAGCAGCUCUGCACACUGGCAGGCUGCUUCAGCUGGGCACGUACUCCUACAAGUGCCACCUGCUCUGUUAUAAUCUUUGCCUCGCUGAAGUCGCCAGCAUCUUUCUGCUUGAUCUGCAGGGUAGCUCCCUCACGUUGAACUUGGCUGCUCUUUUAGGAGAGUAACAGUUUGAGGAGCUGUUUGGCUCAGUAGCACUUGGCAACCUCGGGAAGCGAAUGCAUUCAGCUGGGCAGUGGGCACACGUACGUUUGAGGGGGGCUGCUGUGUGCCCCAUCCUGCAGUGUUAGUUCACAGCGUGCCUGUGCCUCGGAGGCACUCACUGUGCAGCUGACACAGCCCUCAGGCAUCAGGCAGCUGGGGAAAUUGCCACAGAAGCUUUAGCAAGAAAGCACAUAAUAGCCAAAGUCGAAGGGUGAAUUGAGAUACAGUGGGGGAGGCAGCUAUUAUGUUCUAGCUCUCUUUAAAAACCAUUCUGAGACGUGUUAGGUAUUGUGUUGUGUUUGUUGCUGGAUUUAAGACUGCUGACUGCCAGGCAGUGAAGGUCACUUUGUGCUUCCUUCUUUAAGGCAAGUUGCUGCUGUUUAUAUUAACAAGGGAGCAGCAGUACUGGCUAACUCCUGGCAUGUUAACCUGCAUCUCUCCCGGGCAGCAGGCCUCUGCUGCGCUCCCUCAGGACCUGUAUAGUUGGAGAGUUGUAUAUCAUGUAGGUGUCAAGCCCAAUUGGAGCUUCCUUGUCAGGAUGUGUUAAGGCAGCUGCCUUGCAAUUUGUGUUACAGUGUGCAUCUCUGCCAAUAAACUACUUUUGCUCUCCCUUGUGCUGCGUCUGCCGUCUGCAGGGCUGCUGGGAGAGCUGCCAGAGAGAGAGAGCAACUGCAGGCAUAAAGGUGGCUGGGUGGCACCUCUUGUAAUCUGUGUUCUGCAUGAUGUAUUGAUUGACUUUGUGGAUGGAUCCCAGGGGUUGAACACAAACAGUAUGUACCAGAGCAUGACAUUUUAAUCAGAGACAGGUUUAACUACUGGGAGCAGCUCGGGUAAUGUCUACUUUAAAAAAAAAAAUUAAAGAAAGAAAAUUGCACCAAAAAAAAAAGGGUGUAUGCUGGUUAUUGCUUAGGAACUCUGUGUAGCUGUGCAGUUAAACAUGAGAUACAAAUGAGUAGGUUGUGACAGGACCAAGAGCACUUUGAAGUAAAGCUGUAGUAAGUGUAAAUUGGGGAUACAAGACACUGAAAUAAGCUUUUUGCAUGUGCAUGCGCAGACACCAGGGCCUAAGCAGUAGAUCCUGGUCAGUGCAGCACCAUUCCUGCCAGCCAGCUGUAAAAUCACUUGGCUCAGGGGAUAGAAAGGUGUUCAUGCUGCAGCAGGUUGGGCUGGCAGGGAACUAGAGACAUUUAAAAGAAGGUGGCUGGAGUUUUCUCUGUCUUUGCAAUGAUAGGGAGUUGUGAGAAAGAUGGAGCUCUUUUGGGGUUGGGUCAGCUCGCCCCAGCAAUAUCUUGAGUAAAGACUGCCUCAGAAACACCAGGGAAUGUUAUCCUCCUUCUUAGCCUGUAACACACUGUGUAGCAGACUUUAACCUUCUAUAGUAAAAUCUCAGGGUCCCUGAAGAGCUCUGUUAACCUUGAAAAUCUGUGUGGUAUGUUGCUUUCUACCUGCAAAGUAGAAAGCACCUCUUAUUCACAGGCAUGAAUGACACUGAGUCUGGUCCAGAGGCAGACUUGAAAGGACAUCCAUCUGCUGUUUGUGGGAAUUUAACUGAGCAGAAACUUCUGAAACACCAAAAACAGAGAGAAUAGCAGAAUUAUUCCCAAAGCGCUGCCUGCCUUCUAAUUGCUGGCCAUCUCCUUUUGUGAAAAGAAGCAAGAGAAAGAGUUCACACAAGCACGAGUGCUUUCAGACUUCUCUUCUGGGGAAAGCAGUUGUCUUUCUUCUCUUGUUUUUGGACGCUUAAAAUGAGGAAAGCAACAUAUCAGACUGGAAAACCAGUCAAUGUUACCUUGGUAUCUGAUGAUCAAAGGUAUGACCCCCCUCUGCUGUGCCCUGAGAACAGCAGUAACUGUUUCCUGAGGGAACAGCACUUAGUUCAAAGCAGGAAGUGUCCCUUCCCUCCCUGUGUGGCCACACAGACCAGGAGCUGCCUGCCUGCCUGCCUUGGGAGAGCAGGGUGUUUAGCUUUUCCCAAUAGAAAAAGGGCAGCUUAACCAGUUCUCCUCUGCCAAUAAAAAGAAGCAGGGAGAUGAGUCUCAGAGAAUGAUUAUUGCCUGGGUAGUGGCAUGGCUGGCACCUAUUUCCUUGUGAAGAACCAGUGGGCUACAGUUAUUAAGUAGUAGGAGUUUUUAAAAUUCAUGGUCAGCUUUACCACUGGGCUUCCUUUCAUCAUUUGAAAAGUCUGUGAUUUUGUUCGGACUACUAUAGUUUAAAUGCAGAAAAUAAUAGAAGCUAAGAGAAAAACUGUUUGUUCUUUGCAUUCAACUACCAUUUUACUGUGUGCAUUUUAAUGCUCAAAAUGUACUGGCUGCUGGCUGGCAUUUCUAUCCUGUUGUAGUGCCUGGAUUCCUCUCGUGUUUCUAAUGAGGCGCAAAGUAUAGAGAACAUAAUUGACAGGAAAAAGCUGCAGUUUUUUUAAUGACCAGAAUCAUAUAUAUUUUAAAGCUCUAUCCUAAGGUUACAGCACAACAAAGCAGGCAAUGUCUCUUUCAUCUGCAGUUUACUUGAAAACUAGGACUGAAUUUCAGUCUCCCCAGGUGACAGAAAGCAGCAGAGAGCCCCCAGUACAAAAGCAAAGACCCAGUCACGCACCAUCCAGCACUGUAGAGUCUAUGUGAGCUGUCUUCCAAGAAUAUGGGGAUACCUUUCUUUAUAGGAGUAAAGCAGAUAAGGGAAGGACUGUUAGAGAGCCAAAUGAGACAAAAGGAAAUGAAGGAACAAUUAAAAUGAGUCAAUACUGUGAAGCUAUUAGGUGAGGGCAUUACAAUAUCUGAUGUGAGAGAUCUUAACUGGGACACAUGUAACAUUUGCCCCCAACUCACCAGGCAAAGGGUUGCACUGACUUUGCUGUUAGAAAUGAUGAACAGCAUUGGCUCAUCUAAGUUCUUAAUAUAGAUCACACCUUUUGUAUGAAUUUUCGCACGGAACUCUGGGGCAACUUUCUGAGAUGAGAAUUAUUUUUUGUCACCUGCAAAUUGCACUUUUGUGAGGAGUUAUACCAAGGAAAAAGUAGGUGAGAUGUUGCUGGGGCAAGCUGGAGCACCAAGGCUGCACAGCUGACAAAUGAGAUUUCUGUCAAGGUGAGGUGUAGAGAAAAAAAAAAAGAGCCAAGUUCAAUUCCUGGUGAUUCUAACAGAUUGGUGAAACUGCAGGCUGUCAUUGGGAAAAUCCUGUUUCUCAGACAAAAAUAGACAGGGCACACUAACAUGAAAAUACCAGUGUGAAUCGGCAUCUGAAUUAUGUUGUUAGGUUUAAGUAGUCUUUACUUGGAUGUCAGCAAAGGGUUAAGACAGUGUUUUUAGCAAGCUCAUGGUUACUGCUUGCAUUACAGUAACAUAACAGGCAUGUUCAGGACCCAUUACACCAACUGCAGUUUGUACAAGCAGCAUACAUUGAAGGUAUUGUGUAAGUAUGCAUAUAUAUUUGGCAAAACCCCCUGAGAACCAUAAAAUCAGUUUGGAGAGAGGAAUGACAAGAAAGGGAAUCAAAAGAACUGGCUCAUAUUCCAUCUGUAGAGUUGCACUUCAGGGGAAAAAAAAUAAUCCAAACCCAAAAAAACCCACUAAAUAAAGCUCUGGGUUUCUCGUCCCAUAACCUUGUGUCCUGCCUAUUUUGUGAGAAAGUACUAUUGGAAAUAUUCAGUGGCAGAGAGUCCAUGCAGUAUCAGGAUUUUUUUUGCUCUUUCUGGUACAUGGCAGAGUUGUUGUGUGAUGAUGGAGCAGAAGCAGCCCAAAGGCGUUUUAUAUUUUCUGCACACAUGGUGUUGGCACAUGAGUUUGUUCCUUGUGCUUGAACUUCCACUAAGUCAAUGCAUGCUGGACUACUAAAAAUGUAACAAAAUUGAAUUUGGGGCAGGCAAAACCGAUAAGAGAUUUGCUGCCACUGGGAGUGUGAAUCAGACCUUUUCUGCAGCAGAGUUGCAAACAUUACCUGAAUGUUGAGUGCACCAAGAGCUGAUCACAGAGACAGCAAACUUCUCUGCUUGGUUGCAGCUCUGAUCUGAUAGUGGGGAGUACCUGUUCGUUUGCGUACUUAAACAAUUGCCUGCAAACUAGCAACAAAAUGAAGUAUCCAUGAUGCUUUUGACAACUUUGAGGUAGGAGAGCACAAUGAGCAUGGCAGCUAUAGAUGUAUGUGCUGAUAUUAAGCAGUGCUUUUUGAGAUAGUGCAGUGGAUUUAGUUCGUAUUUAAGUAAAGCCUUGGACUAUCAUUUCUGAGAUAUUUUCAUGUCUACCUUUGAUCUAAAAUGUGUUAAUCUAAUGAGUGGGUAGAGAAAAUGAGUUACUAUGGGAACGACAUCUUUCUCUAACUUGCUGCCCCAGCUGGCUGCUCUGGCAAUCGAAGCACGCCGCAAAACGGAGCAAGGCCGCCAGAGACAAACGUGCAUUUCAGUCUGAGAGGGAGCUUUGGAGGUUGGGUUUGGGGUACAGAGGAUACCAGCAGACCUCUGGGAGUUGCAUCGUGUGCUUAAAGCAAAAUGAGAGGAAGAGGAGUGAGCUGGCACCUGAUUGUGAAAAGGAAAAAACCCCAAAAAGUGAGUCACCUAGUGGGAAGGAGACAAAGGCUCUGCUGCUGCAUUUCUUGGGGUGUAAGUGAUAAAUGAUUAGGGCCAGCUGUUAAAGCUUGAAGCUUCUCAAUCUGUUCUGGUAGUCAUUAAUACGGUAUUUUAUCAUUAAAUAGCUCCAUGAUCUGCAGUCUCUUCCUGUUUUCUGCUGCAGAGUCACAGAAGAAGCCAUAAAUACGAAAAGCACAGUGCCUGAACAAGGCAAAGGAAAAAAGAGGUGAGCAUCCUGCCUCAGCUCACUGCAGCAUGAGAGCAUUGGGUGGGUGCUCACCCAACUUCAACACUUACAGGUAAGCAGGAAUUAUUUUCUCUGGGCAAUUUGUUUCUUUGAUACCUUCAUUCCUUACUAUCCAAUGUGUGUCAUUUAUUUUGCCUACUUUCUCAGGAAAAGACUUGUACAACUUAUGUGGUUAAAUAGAAUCAUGAUCCAAGUAUUUUGAUUUACUUUUUUUUAAUAAAAAAUAAUUGAAAAACAAUCAGUGAAAUACGUGUUCCGGAUGAAUAUCAACAAUGUAAAUCACAACAGUAGACAUUCAAACAUUAUCAAAGGCCUGCAACUUUUUGAAUUUCCAGUUGGGUUUUGACUACCACUCUUCUAUUUCAAUGUCUGUCUCCAGAGUCACAAAUUUUUGUACCUUUUUAUUUUUUUUCAAGCUGACUCCUGCCCUCAAGGUCUCUUAAUAUUCCCUUUCUUGCUUUCUAAUCUGGCUGAUGGUCAGCCUAAGGAAGCUUCAUCAUUGCUAACUUCCUCCCUGCACUAUGAGCUUUUGGGUGAGGCCUUCUCAGACAGCUGAAGGUCUUACACUGACCCAAGUUAUGUCAAGGUUACUCUCCUGGCUGCUGUCCAGUAGCAUCCCUGUGGGGAUCACCUGCCCUCAGACUGGUACCUGCCCCAUUUUUGUCACUGAGGCUUUGCUGCUCCAUCUGUGGCAGUGGUGCUCAGAUUUAUCUGAUUUGCGUCGCUACAACUAGAACUUUGUCUCUCUGAUGCUGUUUCUGAGGUUUAAUGUUCUGAUUAUUAUAAGACUUGUUUAUUUGCUAAUUUUGUAUGUAUGCAUCCCUACUGGAAACCUCAGGGACUUUUCUAACUUUCAGUUCACCUGCUCAUGAGUGCCUAGCUGGGGUGGCCUGGGCUGCUUUUUCACAUCUCUAUGCAGCAAGGAAAGUCUCUCACUGUCUUCUGUGCCACAGGCACAUCCCAAAGCUCAAUAGGGUCACACUAUGCCUUUGAAGCAAGGAUUUAAAACAACUGAGGCCGCUUUUCUUCCAUUUUGAGCCUCACUGAUGAAAACAAUAGCAAUAACUAAAGUACCCUGAGUUCAGAGUGUUGCAAUACUUGCCCUCCCAGUCUGCACAAGUGCAACUGCAGCAUCUCCCUACCCGCCUUCAUCAACUGUGCCUCUCCACCUCUGGCACGU